rnacentral:piRNA from 1 species
UCUCUAGCUUUGUUCUGGAAGGUGAUC